rnacentral:lncRNA from 1 species
GGAAGCUGCACGUCAAACAGAUGACACCUGGGGGAGGUCGAGGGAGAUUUGCACAGAGAAACCGUGCCUUUCUCCCCUUUGUUCCUGUUGGGUUUGAGUAUUGGAAGCCAACCCCGCCCAUGACGUAGGGCCUCCAGCAUUUUUUCCAGGACCGUGACGGUCUCAGGGCCCCUUGCACGCAUCUGUGUUUAUCGGGCGGCUUCCUCUCUCGUGGCGUUAGGAUGCUCACCUGCAGCCCUGCCCACGCGCCCAUCGGGGGAGACCACGGGAGUGUUGCUUGGUCGUGCUUUUCCGUGAGUCUCUUCUUGCCUUGAACCUGGCCUCCUGCCCGCCGCUUGCUCGCCUCCUGCAUCCUGCCCGGUGGCCGGUCUCUGUCUUAGCUUGAAAACCUUUUGCCAGGAGAGAGGAUCACAUCCUUUUCAGCGGUGUGGUCCCUGCCUGGGGCCCCCGAGCCCCUUGUGUGGUCCAGAAACAUCCCAGGCACUGGCUUGCACUCUGCCGAUGCGCUCGGAGCCGACCUUGAUGGAAUACAACCUUGUCGCGGUCUGUCAUCUUCACGGGCCGAGAUGCAAACAUGUGGUAGGUAUUAGCAUCACGCGUGCUCGGGGAAAUUACCGGGGCUCAAAAAGGGGUGAAUUACAGUUCUUAAAAAUAGGCAUGGGGCUCCUCUUAAAUCAGAAUGAUUGGAAAAUUACUGGUGCUUAAAAAGUCAGUCCGAAUGAUUACACAUGCCAAGAAGAAGAGGGGCGGUUGCAACAGUUUGUUCUGUGACCAGAUAAUCAGAGAGGAUCAGGAGGUCACCAAACUUCCAUUCCGAGGCUGGCUCAUGAAAGGAAGAAUGGGUAUUAGGAUUAUAGGGUUUCGUGAUGUCUUUUUUUAUAGGUGGGGCCAUCAGAUCUUCAGUCUGCUCAUUAUUGCAUAAAUGCCUCGCGCCAGAUUGUGGUAGGGUCUGUUUUUGGGCUGAGAAUGUGGUGUCUGUGGCCUCUGACAGACUCAUGUGUUUUCAUUUAUUGCAGAAAGUUCUGGGAGCGGCAGGCCACGUGUAUUUCUAAAAUACAUGUUGACUCCGUCCCAACUCUUCCCUCGUGUGUUUCAAAGUGGCAGGGGUGGGGGGUCUCGUUUUCACAGCAGUUGGGCCGCCCAACCAAGAUGUGGGUUAAAAAUGGACAUUGGUUUGGGCUUCUGUAUAUUCUGAAGUUCAUAUUUCCUGCAGUUCAGGAUAACAUCUUGUUUAGGUGUUAAAAAAAGAAAGAAAGAAAGAAACAUGAGGUCCCAUUCUAAGUGAUUGGAAUCUAAAGAACUUGAGUGAAAGGCAAGGCAAUCAGUAUUUAAUCUGGGCGCACUGUCUCUCAUGACGGAAGUAUAAGUAAGCCUUUCUUUCUGUGCCAAGUGCAACUGAACCAUUGAACAGUUAAUAGACAAUUAAUACAGCUUCAAAAGAAUAUUUUCCAGCCUAAAGGGUAUAUACUAAGCGCCUUUCAAAACAUGCCAGGCUGCUGUUUGUCAUCUCUCAUUAAGGAAAACGCAUUCCUUCCUGAAAGGGUCUUCUUUAUUCAUGGAAAAACAAUGCAUGCAGGAGUUCCCCGUUGUGGCUCAGAGAGUUACAAAUCUGACGAGCAUCCAUGAGGACUCCGGUUUGAUCCCUAGCCUUGCUCAGUGGGUUAAGGAUCCAGCGCUGCUUGGAGCUGUGGUGUAGGUUGCAGGUGUGACUUGGAUCCUGUGUUGCUGUGGCUUCGGUGUAAGCCUUCUCCCAGCCGGGGAACUAACACAUGCCGCAGGUGUGGCCCUAAAAAGCAAAAAACAAACGAAAGAAAGAAAGAAGGAAGGAAGGAAGAAAAGCAAUGGAUACGAAAGAAUAAAGAGCAAACAUCCACGUGCCUUGGUGCCACCAGAACAAAAACAAACCAACCAAAAACACACAAACAGAAUAAAGACCAAACAUCUGGCACAGCGACCAAAGCCGUAAUUAUUAUGGUUUUAAAAAAAAAACAAAACCCCGAAACACCGUUGUAUCGAAUGUGUAGGUCACAGUCAGGUCUGGUUUGGAGAGGUCUUUGUUGUCGUUUGAAAAGCAUUCGCCUUAAGCAGGAACAGACUGCCAGGCGGCUAAGACAACCUGGAAAUAGUAGUUGCAACAUCCCCAAGCCCUCCUUUAAUUUGUAGGUUGUCUGCUGAAGGGGAUGCGUGGAGGCAAGGCUAGAGGUUCUUGCAUCAGUGAUGACCAGUCCCUACAGUGACAGGCAGGGCGCACACGAACCCACGUCCUCGCCUGUGUUGUCACUGGAGAGCAUGAAGCAGGACCUGAGGGUUCCCUUCUCUCGUAUUAUCCGAGACGUUGCAUCUUCUCAUCGGAUCCAGAUCCCUUUGCACCCUUUGGGCUGUGGACCUUCUUGGAAGGAAGUCGUCCAUUUCACGGGAGGUCCUGCAGAAGGAAACAAAGUAAUGUUUGAAUAAUGAGUUUGAACCGCAGAACCCUCACAAUGUAACUCCUCACUCUUGUCCUCAUAGGUAGCCAUGGCAACCAAACUCACAGGGGCUCUUAUUCCUGCAUCACCGCCCCCUUACCUAGGAACUUCUCAGAUGGGGCUGUUAGCAGAUUUGCCUUUCUAUCCAGCUCUGAUCCAGCUGGAUUCUGGAAUGUCUUGCACCCUCCACAACCUCAGCAGUACCCAUAUUCCAGGCACAGCUCUUUGCCUGUUUGCACCAUCCCCCAGAACCAGCCCCCACUGCUCUGGAAUAGAUGUGAGCCCUCAGCACCCAUUCAGUGCCCGCUACUGUCACCCUCCCUGGAAAUGGCUCCAUCUUCGUCACGGUGCUGUGAGCUGGACGGUUCCCUUUAUCCCACGGCAAAGAGAGAGAGUGACUCGCCCCAUUUCAAAGGGACCCAAUCGGCUCUGAAACUGGGGUCUGAGACUCUUAAUCUUUUUUUCUCCUCUUUUUACAGCCGCACCUGUGGGAUAGUGCCCGGGCUAGGGGUCGAAUCGGAGCUGCAGCUGAAGCCUAUGCCACAGCCAUGGCUAUGCCAGAUCCCUACCCCACUGAGCGAGGGCAGGGAUUGAACUCGCAUCCUCACAAACAUCAUGUCAGACUCUUUACCCGCUGAGCCACAAGAGGAACUCCUGCAUCUCUGAUUUUUCUUUGCCCCAUAGGAUGCUGUGAUGCUCUGAGCCCGCCCUUGUCCAGGGCUCAUCUAGACAAGCUUGAAGAGAAGUUGCUGGCAGGACGGGGACGGGGGCUGGGUGCUGGAUGUGCUGGGAAGGAGGCGCAUGAUUUUAGCACAGACCGGGUCCAGCCCGCGGCUGUCUCGAAAGAUUGUUUUUUAUUCCUGGUCUCCACUCUCUGGGAAUUGAAACGGCUGCUGGUUGUCCUCCACAAGGACUUGGUUCUGAGUGGAGUUACCAGGGGUUGGCAUGUAUAUUCAAGGUGGCAGGAACGCCCCCUUAGCGAAUUAUCCCAGGUACAGACUUAAGUUACGUAAGGCACAUCCUGGCUGAGUUCCAGAAGUUGCUUCAGAGCCACAACGGCAAAUGCUUUCCCCGAAACCAAAGUGAGUCUUAUUAGAGUGCCGUCUGCUACUUCCACCCACCUCCCCCCCAAAAAGAUAUCAUUUCAGCUCGUGCAGGUAAGAUUGCCCAAUAAAAUACAAGAAGCUGAGUGAAAUUUGCAUUUUGCGUAAAUGAUGAAAAAGAAUUUUUUUAAGCAUAAGUACGUCCUAAGUUCAGUGGGAUAUACUUCUCCCUCUAAAAAUGAUUCCUUAUUCACCCUCAAAUGCAAAUUUAAUAGGUACCCAACAUUGUUUUGGGUCUUUUCUUAGGGCUGCAUCCAUGGCCUAUGGAAGUUCCCAGGCUAGGGGUCGAAUCGGAGCUGCCGCCAGCUCACAGCAAUGCUGGAUCCUUAACCCACUGUGCAGGGGCCAGGGAUCGAACCCUCAUCCUUAUGGAUACUAGACAGGUUCGUUGCUGCUGGGAUGGGAUGGGAACUCCUCCUUGGUGCUCACCAUUGUACAUCAAUUCCAGUUCAGUGGAUGUUCUAACGGUAGGUGUCAGUCCCUCCACCGCGAUCCCAGGCUCAGCCAUCCUGGGAUUUUGUUUGCUAAACCAGCAGCCGUCCAUCAAGGGCACUGGUGCAAACCGUUUGUGACAGAUGGCUCGUCCUCAAGGGGUCUCCAUGUGCUUUUCCUCAGCAAGAAAUCUAAAUAGGAUUGACUUAAAGAAAACAAACCGUAACCACUGAGAGAACAAGCCUCUUAUUCAUGCAAGAGCAGGGGGUUGGCAGAAAAAGAAAUUCUACUUUCCAAGAGCUGGACGAAUGUCCAGACCCGCGAAUCCCAGCCUAGGUGCCCUCGUGGCUCGUUGCAGACAAUGUCGUUCUCUGCUCCGGACUGGCCUUCAUCCCAGACUGGGAGGCAGGCGCUCUUCCCGCGGGAGACAAAAAGUCUGUCGCACUUGAGUUUGUGGCAGGGCUGGCCGUCCCCCCAGCCCAGGGUCUGCAGGGAUCCCGUCCCGCCCGUGAGAAACCCUAAACGGUUUCAGCAUGAGAGAGAGUCACCCCUGGACCCCACGUCUGUGUGAGUUUCGUCCAAGUUUUAUAGCUGUUCCUCUCAGGUUAGCUUCUCACAUCUCGUCCUGCCGUUUCAGGGGACUGAAAUAUAUGGCGAGUUAACAGUUCCACACAACACUCUUCUUCCUCUUCCUCCUGUCCUAAGGCUUCUUAGUAAUAAUUUUGGCCAUUGAAUAUUGAUACACGUGGGGCUUAUUCCUCUGGGCAGAAGAAAACAUUUUCAGUCAAUAAAUGCAAUGGGGAGUUGCUGCUGUGGCUCAGCACGGUAAGGACUUGACCUAGUGUCUGUGAGGAUGUGGGUUCAAUCCCUGGCCUGGCUCAGGGGGUUAAGGGUCCGGCGUUGCCACAGGCUGCAGCGUACAUGGCAGAUGUGGCUCAGAUCCUGUGUUGCUAUGGCUGUGGUGUAGACUGGCAGCUGCAGCUCCGAUUUGACCCCUGCUCUGGGAACCUCCCUAUGCUGCAGGUGCAGCCGUGAAUAGAAAACAAACGAGAGAGAGAGGCUGCUGAACAUGGGUUCAUGUAUUGGUGGAAGAAAUGGUAUCGUUUUGAAACGAUUUAUGCAACUCAAAGUUUAUUCCCCAUGUUUGUUACUAUGCCUGUGCUGUAUGUUUCACAGCGNAUGUGUUUGUGUGUCCGUGUGUGUCCGUGUGUGUGUGUGUGUGUGUGUGUGUGUAGUUUCACAGUCCAGAGGAGUGUAACAGACCUUCUGCUGUGUGAGAACAGAAGCACUAUGGUCCAGCAUCGUUUCCGUCCGAGAAAGUCGGGAUAGGAGUGCCUGUUGUGGCUCGGNGCAACAGUCAGUCACACAUGUGGUUCAUAUCGGGCGUGGCUGUGGCUGUGGUGUAGACCUGCAGCUGCAGCUCGGAUUCGACCCCUAGCCCGGGAAUGUCCAUAUGCCGCAGGUGUGGCCAUAAAAAGAAAAAACUAAAAACAUUUUUAAAAAGAAAAGAAGUCAGUCUUCCCAGAGGCGUCUCAGAAGAAAGGGAGUGAGGAUUGAGCCUUGCAUGCCCUUAGGUGGUGCCUGGGGCUGUGCCUUCGGUGGAGACAGAAGGUGCCAGAUUAGGGAAGGAGCACGUGAUUCGCUGGAGAGGAAGGGGACCUGGGGGUGUACAUCAGAACCCCGCUGGCACGAGCCAUGCUGGGUGAUGUCGUGCCCACAAGUAGUGGAGGCGUUCCGACCACCCAGCUCCCGCGCCCGGGUGGGGUUGUGUGGGUCCUGAACGCAGAGCCUUAGCUAGAGACCAGGCAGGGUCCGGUGGGACGCCAGGAAGGCUUGAAAAAAGAUGUAAAAGAGGAUAGGACAGUCGGUGGCAGACACUCAGAGGUCCUGCCGGAUGUCUCACCCCACGGAGACCCCACGGUGGCCGCCAGACAGGUCCCUGUGUUCCUUGCCGGGCUGCAUCUCUGCCCCCUGGGACCCCACUGGGACUCCACCCACCCAUCCCUUACCUGCUUUUGCCUCAGGCUCCCCUUUGGUUCCCUCCCAGGCUGUGACGAUGAACUGUGUUCUCUCUCGCAUGAUUGCACCCCUCAAUUACGUACUCAUUCCAAUCCUCAUUUCUGUGCAAUGGUUACACCCGUUUGAAAGGACCUCCGAGAGAAAUACAUGUGAAAGAAAAACAAAACUCCCAAGUCUGUCACGGGGGAAAAAAAGUCACAGACUGGAAAGGAGUCCCAUACACAUUAUGCUUAGAUGCCCAAGCAGCAAGAAAACGGAUGGCUCUCGGAGUUCUCAUCGUGGCUCCGUGUGAAAAGCACCUGUCUAGUGCCCAUGAGGUUGUGGGUUCCAUCCCUGGCCUCGCUCAGAGGGUUAAGGAUCCGACGUUGCUGUGAGCUAUGGUGUAAGUUGCAGAUUGGGCUUGAAUCCUGCAUGGCUGUGGCUGUGGUGUAGACCUUCAGCUGCAGCUCUCACUCACCCCUAGCCUGGGAAUGUCCCUCCCAGGCUGUGCCUUGGGUGCAGCCCUAAAAAAAAGAAGAUAAAGAUAAAUGGGAGUCCUGCACGUAAAGAAGGGGGAAAAAAAGCAGUGGAAACAUUAUAGAAAAAAAAGCAGCGGCCAGAGGAAUAGACAGUGUAACGCCUAUUAAUGCGUAAUUAGCUAAUGAUCAGAGAAGUGCACCUAAAGGCAACAGUGAGACACAUCAGUGCACGUGGCUGUCGCAAGCUCUGUAAAGUGGGGACAGAUGCGGUCUUCUCAAGGGCAGCAGAAGACACGAGUGUCCCUGCCCAGAUGGUGACCGUCAGCAUGGUGGCCGCCUUUCCGAAGGGCGUUCUGGCCACGCUUUGAGUUGCACUAAAGAAGCAGACAUCUCACCCCAGUCCUGCCUCUUGUAGGGAUAAAUCCCAGAGAAGUUCUUGCAGAAGCGGGUCCCGGGACGCCCCUGGGAGACUUACCAUGACUUAGGGAGUUCAAAGCUGUCCUAGUGGCCAAGACUACAAUGAGGGACCACCUCACGCCUCUCAGAAGGGCCGACAUGAACAAGUCUCACGAAUCCCACAUGCUGGAGGGGGUGUGGAGAAAAGGGGAACCCUCCUGCCCUGUUGGUGGGAAUGGAAACGGGUACGACCACUGCGGAGAACAGUCUGGAGGUUCCUCAGAAAACUAAAUACAGAACUACCUUGCGAUCCAGCAGCCCCACGCCUGGGCAUCUCUCCAGUUGCCCAGUCUGCAACUCCUGGGCAUCUCGUCAUUCAAAAAGAUCCAUACACCCCUGUGUUCAUUGCAGCACAACCUGCAAGAGCCAAGCCAUGGAAGCCACCUAAGUGUCCAUUGACAGAGGAGUGGGUUAAGACGUUGUGGUCCAUAUGCACAAUGGAAUACUACUCAGCCAUAAAAAGGAACAGCAUCAUGCCAUGUGCAGCAACAUGGCUGGACCUAGAGAGUCUCAUACGAAGUGAAGUCAGUCGGAAAGAGGAAGAGAGAUACCACACGAGACGCCUUAUGCGGGCAAUCUAAACCAUGGCACAAAUGAACCUGUCUACAAAACAGAAACAGACUCGCCCAUGUGGAGAGCAGCCGUAUGGUUGCCAAGGGGGAUGGGAGAGGGAGAGGGAUGGACAGGGAGUUUGGGGUUGGUGGACGCAAAUGAUAACUUUGGGAAUAGGUAGGCAGUGGGUCCUGCUGUGCAGCACGGGGAGCUCUGUGGGAUGGGGUCACUUUGCUGUACAACAGAAAUGGAGGAAAGAUUGCAAAUCAGCUCCACAUCAAUCAAAAAAAUACAUUUAAAAAGAACAAAAAAAAAGCUGCCCUGCCUGGUCAUCGCCACUAAAGCCUGGAAAUCGUGGUGGGUGCAUGAGACAGACGGCUCCCGGGCCCCGCCGUUGCAGAUGCAGCUCCUUGAUGAGGUCUGAACGGCAUUCUGUUGAGAGAAAGACUUAGAGGAAAGGCAGAUGUCCAGGGCAAACCUCCUUCUAUCCGUGAGAAACCCUCUCGAGGCAGUGUGGUAGAGGCAGCAAGGCACUGGCGCCCUCAGUGUCUGACAUCAAGCAGAUUGCGGUGGGGGUGGGGGUGCAGGUGGGGUUUCAGGGAUGCCCCCGGGGACCGGGUGCAAGGGAGAGACCCCCACUAGCGGGCGAGGGUCUUGCUGUGGGUGACGGCAGUGGGAGGGACGGUCAGCUCAGCCCUUGGUACCCACGUCCAAGGGAAAGCCACUGCUGUCUGAAUAAGCAGCAUUUGGCCAGAUAUAGCUAUACACAGGAAUAGCUAUACAUAGGAAUAGCUCAAAAGAGGGAAGUUAAAACAGUUCCCUUUGUGGCUCAGCUGUCACAAACCCGACUAGGAUCCACGAGGGUGCAGGUUCAAUCCCUGGCUUCGCUCGGUAGGCAAACAGUCUGGCGUUGCUGUGAGCUGUGGGGUAGGUUGCAGAUAUGGCUCAGAUCCGGUGUUGCCCUGUGGCUGUGGUGUAGACCAGCGGCUGUAGCUCUGACUCGAGCCCUGCCUAGCCCGGGAACUUCCAUAUGCUAAAAGUGGAGGCCUUAAAAGAAAAAAAAA